GAAUGGUUUUCUCUCAGUGUGUGCAACGAGAUGACUGCGACAAUUCGUUUAAUAUUUAGUAAGGUCCUACAUCGGAUACGGACGUGGAACCAGUGAAGGGCGAAAGUAGAAUGAGCCUCGAAAUGGAGGAAAAGAUGAAGAACAUGAUGGCGACUCAAGCAUUGAAAACUUGUCCAUUACGUAUCCAAAAAACUAUGUCCGGCUUACUCUCAGAAUGAUAAGGUAUGCCACGAAUCAUAGCAUGACUGAGCUAAAUUCAACAGUACAUGUUUGACCUGCAAGUUUUUGAUUGCAUUUUGUUUGGCAGGUCUACGUGCCGAAUACAAAACAUUAACUCGUUAGACUUAAGGAUGCCUGACUUAACUAGACUAAGUGCGAUAACGUAUAGUAGAUCUUUUGUACAAAAAUUUCUAUUCUAAGUCGUGCGUUUUGAUAAAAAGCCUUUUUGUGAUAAGCCAGUCGGCCUUGCAUCUAUUCUUCACACCGAACAGGUAGACGUAAACACAGAGGUUGAUUAUAUUAAUGUGAUUUAUUGCCCAGUUGCUAGGUCGUUUACAGUGCUUGUUUAUGGGGUGCUGGUCAACGCGUUUGAAGUAACACAUCGUCAAGGACGAGAUGAUAUCGAUUCCAUCUCGCCCAUACAAACAUACUAACGUGACUCGGCAUUUCAACAGGUGCAAAAUAGACAGAAAAUCCCAAAAAGCCAGCAACACGUAUAGGAAGUACUGAAGGUCUCUAUCAUUCUACACGGAGAGAUAUCGAAAAGCAGAUCGUCGUCUAUUGGACGUCUUGUGAUUUUGAUUUGCCCACUUGUUUUUAUUUUUAGUCGCAGCGUAUUUUUUUCGGUGAUAACGAGAUGGUAUUAGAACAGAAAAAUUAGACCUUUGGGAUACGCUUUUAUUAGAUAGUAUUGUGCUUUCGACAUACUACCUCCAGUACUUUGACUGCAGUCUUCCCAUUUCUUCUAUUACUUCCUCUCGAUUCUUGAAAUUCAAACCCCAAGAAUAACGAAAGAUGACUAGACAAGUGAAGAGCUUGGCAGGUCGGCAGCAUUUCUGGAAGACUCUUUGAGGCGAAGAAAUUGGCAGCCCAACUGGCCUCUCUAGCAAUAGAUCAUAUCGAUGGCGUCACUUACGAUGACCUGCCCCACUACGGACAAGUGCAUGUUGUGGCCGAAUCCACCUCCAGCCUA